CACCUCUCAGGGUCGCACCUGGAGAGUUUCCAGUACUCUACCAGUCUUGACUACGGGAGGGAGAGUCAAACAUAGGUUUUAACCAUUCCAUUCCUAGCUUGGGCAGUGGUUAGUGAGUGGAAGGCAAUCUGCUGACACUG